GAUGAACGCUAGCGGCAGGCCUAACACAUGCAAGUCGAGGGGUAGAGUUAGCUUGCUAACUUGAGACCGGCGCACGGGUGCGUAACGCGUAUGCAAUCUACCUUGUACAGGGGGAUAGCCCAGAGAAAUUUGGAUUAAUACCCCAUGGUGUUUAGAAGUGGCAUCACUUUUUUACUAAAGUUCCAACGGUACAAGAUGAGCAUGCGUCCCAUUAGCUAGCUGGUAUGGUAACGGCAUACCAAGUCUAUGAUGGGUAGGGGUCCUGAGAGGGAGAUCCCCCACACUGGUACUGAGACACGGACCAGACUCCUACGGGAGGCAGCAGUGAGGAAUAUUGGUCAAUGGUCGCAAGACUGAACCAGCCAUGCCGCGUGCAGGAAGACGGUCCUAUGGAUUGUAAACUGCUUUUAUACAGGAAGAAACCCUCUCACGUGUGGGAGCUUGACGGUACUGUAUGAAUAAGCAUCGGCUAACUCCGUGCCAGCCGCCGCGGUAA
rnacentral:rRNA from 1 species